ACUCCUACGGGAGGCAGCAGUAGGGAAUUUUCCGCAAUGGACGAAAGUCUGACGGAGCAAUGCCGCGUGAGUGAUGAAGGUUUUACGAAUUCGUAAAGCUCUGUUGUAAGGGAAAGAAUAGCAAGAAUAGGAAAUGAUUCUUGUCUGACGGUACCUUACCAGAAAGCCACGGCUAACUACGUGCCAGCAGCCGCGGUAAUACGUAGGUGGCAAGCGUUAUCCGGAAUUAUUGGGCGUAAAGCGCAUGUAGGCGGCUCUUUAAGUCUGAUGUGAAAGCCUGUGGCUCAACCACAGAAUUGCAUUGGAUACUGGAGAGCUAGAAUCUUGGAGAGGUAAGUGGAAUUUCAUGUGUAGCGGUGGAAUGCGUAGAUAUAUGAAGGAACACCAAUGGCGAAGGCAGCUUACUGGACAAGUAUUGACGCUGAGAUGCG
rnacentral:rRNA from 1 species